rnacentral:misc_RNA from 1 species
GAUGAAGAACGUAGCGAAAUGCGAUAAGUAGUGUGAAUUGCAGAAUUCAGUGAAUCAUCGAAUCUUUGAACGCACAUUGCGCCCCUUGGUAUUCCAUGGGGCAUGCCUGUUCGAGCGUCAUUUGUACCUUCAAGCUCUGCUUGGUGUUGGGUGUUUGUCUCGCCUCUGCGUGUAGACUCGCCUCAAAACAAUUGGCAGCCGGCGUAUUGAUUUCGGAGCGCAGUACAUCUCGCGCUUUGCACUCAUAACGACGACGUCCAAAAGUACAUUUUUACACUCUUGACCUCGGAUCAGGUAGGGAUACCCGCUGAACUUAAGCAUAUCAAUAAGCGGAAGA